UCCCAGGUGGCUCAGAUGGUAAAGCGUCUGUUUACAAUGCAGGAGACCUGAGUUCGAUCCCUGGGUUGGGAA
rnacentral:tRNA from 1 species